CCUACUUGCCUGGCUGAGAGAGGAUGAGGACGCUUUUAAUUCUCCUUCUGACCAUCAGAGUGGGCACAGCUCCAUUUCCCAUUGCCAUCCCAUCAUCCAGCCCCACAGAGCAACAAAAUGUUUUCCUCUGUGCUCUCCAUGGAAAUGCUGCUGAGAAACCUCAAUGUUAUGAUGGCUAGAAGUCUUGUCCAAUUUCCAGGUGUUUCCCUGCAAUUCUUUAUCCAGGCUGUGGAUAUGUGGGCACGUGGGUAUGUGCACACACACUGUGAAAACUCUGCAGAGAUCUAUAGACACCUUCAUUUCUCCACACAAAGCAAAGCUGAUGAAUGUCUGCCCAAUUAAACCUGCUCCUCCUGUUUUUGAAGUCCAUUAAAAGUUUUCCAUAGGGAAAACCCAUGUUCUGCUGCCUUGGAGAGCCCUUGUUAAAGCACUGCAACUACUUCACAUUUUGGAGUCAUCAUUUUGGGGCCAUGAGCCAAGCAGGACAAUCUGGACAGUUCUAAAAGAGUGCCAGGAGAUUCUGUAUUGACUACACUGACUCAAAUGCCUUGUUUUACCCAGAUCAAGGUGGGAAAUUUUGGUCAUG